GCCCGAGUGGUGGAAUGGCAGACACGCUAGACUUAGGAUCUAGUGCCGUAAGGUGUGCAGGUUCAAGUCCUGUCCCGGGUACCA
rnacentral:tRNA from 1 species